GGGGCCGUCGCUCAGUGGGAGAGCGUCGCGUUCGCAAUGCGAAGGUCGUGGGUUCGAAUCCCAUCGGCUCCA
rnacentral:tRNA from 1 species